rnacentral:rRNA from 1 species
AGUAACACGUAAGUAACCUAGCUAUUUAGACGAGGAUAACUACUGGAAACGGUAGCUAAGACUGGAUAUGAUAGAAAUAUUUAAAGGAUGCUAAGGCGAUCGCUAAUAGAGGGGCUUGCGGCGCAUUAGCUAGUUGGUAGGGUAAAAGCCAACCAAGGCGAUGAUGCGUAGCCGACCCUGAGAGGGUGACCGGCCACACUGGGACUGAGACACGGCCCAGACUCCUACGGGAGGCAGCAGUAGGGAAUCUUCGGCAAUGGACGGAAGUCUGACCGAGCAACGCCGCGUGAGUGAAGAAAGUUUUCGGAUUGUAAAGCUCUGUUAUUAGGGAAGAAAGGCUCUAGGAGGAAAUGCUUAGGGAUUGACGGUACCUAAUGAGGAAGCCACGGCUAACUACGUGCCAGCCGCAGC